GAGUGGCGAACGGGUGAGUAACACGUGGGUGAUCUGCCCUGCACUUCGGGAUAAGCUUGGGAAACUGGGUCUAAUACCGGAUAGGACCACGGUCUGCAUGGAUUGUGGUGGAAAGCUUUGCGGUGUGGGAUGGGCCCGCGGCCUAUCAGCUUGUUGGUGGGGUGAUGGCCUACCAAGGCGACGACGGGUAGCCGGCCUGAGAGGGUGUCCGGCCACACUGGGACUGAGAUACGGCCCAGACUCCUACGGGAGGCAGCAGUGGGGAAUAUUGCACAAUGGGCGCAAGCCUGAUGCAGCGACGCCGCGUGGGGGAUGACGGCCUUCGGGUUGUAAACCUCUUUCAGCAGGGGACGAAGGGUGACUGACGGUACCUGUAGAAGAAGCACCGGCCAACUACGUG
rnacentral:rRNA from 1 species